AGCAGCGUGGCUCAGUGGAAAGAGCAUGGGCUUGGUAGUCUGAGGUCAUGGGUUCGAAUCCUAGCUCUGCCA
rnacentral:tRNA from 1 species